CGAAUGGGUGAGUAACACGUGCUUAAUNUACCUUUUAGAUUGGAAUACCCAUUGGAAACAAUGGCUAAUGCCGGAUACGCAUGGAACCGCAUGGUUCCGUUGUGAAAGGCGCUGUAAGGCGCCACUAAAAGAUGAGGGUGCGGAACAUUAGUUAGUUGGUGAGGUAAUGGCCCACCAAGACUAUGAUGUUUAGCCGGGUCGAGAGACUGAACGGCCACAUUGGGACUGAGAUACGGCCCAAACUCCUACGGGAGGCAGCAGAA
rnacentral:rRNA from 1 species